CACUUGCCUCUGCACCACAGCCAACUGGUAUGGCAGGCUUUAAUUCAUCUACGACACAAACAAAUGCCUUUUCUCCAUCACCUGUAUUUGGUCAAUCAUCAGCCAAUCUUUUCUCUAGCAUCACACCUAAUUCUAACCCAUUUGCACCAAAGACUUCAACAUUUUCUUCUGGAUUUGGAACUUCAGCUCCUGCUUUCAGUUCAUCGGCUUUUGGUUCUUCAACGUCAACAGCGCACCACUCACGUCCAAUGCUAUGACAGGUUUUGGUCAAACAGCGCCGUCAAUGUCAACACCAUUCCAAUCUGCGCAACCUACUCAGUCAAGUGGUGCCUUUUCCUUUAGUAACUUUGGCCAGACGCAACCUGCUGGUGCAAGUAGCUUCGGUGGGACUCCAGGCAUGUUUGGUCGGAAUAAUUUUGGACUUCAGCCUGUUCCCCAGAAUUAUGUGGUUGCACAAGCAGCACCCAUUACAAAUCCGUUUGGAACACUUCCUGCUUUGCCUCAGAUGUCAAUUGGCCGAGUUGGAACUACUCCUUCUGUUCAAUAUGGAAUCUCUAGCAUACCCACCCCUGCACGCAAUUCUAUCAGAAAAGAAGUUGGAAGUUCCUCUGGAAGUGACACGACUGACACUAGUCAUAGCUUUGUUGAUGUAAAUCAUUUUGAUAAUUCUAAGAUAGUUGCUUUAGAAAAAGAAAAGGACUUGAAUAAAUCAUCCGACAAUGAUGCUCGGGCUUCUGUAGAAGAAAAACUCAGACAGAGGGAUGCCAUGUAGUUUGUCUACUGUUCCAGUUGUAGUACCUACAACAAAUGAGCUCAGUAUGACUCUUGGUGCUUCCAAAAUUCCUNAUCUUUUCUCUAGCACAACACCUAAUUCUAACCCAUUUGCACCAAAGACUUCAACAUUUUCUUCUGGAUUUGGAACUUCAGCUCCUGCUUUCAGUUCAUCGGCUUUUGGUUCUUCAACGUCAACAGCGCACCACUCACGUCCAAUGCUAUGACAGGUUUUGGUCAAACAGCGCCGUCAAUGUCAACACCAUUCCAAUCUGCGCAACCUACUCAGUCAAGUGGUGCCUUUUCCUUUAGUAACUUUGGCCAGACGCAACCUGCUGGUGCAAGUAG
rnacentral:lncRNA from 1 species